CUGUCUUAUUUAAAUCUAAAAAAUAACAAAUAUUUAUUUGAAAAACUUUUUUAAGUUGUUAUUUUCUCUAAAUUUAUCGUUUAUAGGAAAAAGAGCAACAGCUGGAAGAAAACUGGUGGCAGCGCUUGCAGGAAUAGCGAUGUGGCUAUUCUCAAUUCACCUUAGAAUAUCGACGCUAACUUAGAAGCAGGUAAUAAUCGUUUACCCAAAAAAGAGCUGACCGGAGUAAGUGUUUGGAAUUUGAUUGUCUUCUGUCGUGCUCUUCUCCUAGCAGUGCAGCGAGUAUCGUAAUAGAUUUUUAAGAUUAUAAUAUAAAGAAAUCAUCUUAUUUAUCAU